AUUAAACGCUGGCGGCAUGCCUUACACAUGCAAGUCGAACGGCAGCACGGGGGCAACCUUGGUGGCGAGUGGCGAACGGGUGAGUAAAGCAUCGGAACGUGCCCUGGAGUGGGGGAUAACGUAGCGAAAGUUACGCUAAUACCGCAUAUUCUGUGAGCAGGAAAGCAGGGGAUCGCAAGACCUUGCGCUCUGGGAGCGGCCGAUGUCGGAUUAGCUAGUUGGUGGGGUAAAGGCCUACCAAGGCGACGAUCCGUAGCGGGUCUGAGAGGAUGAUCCGCCACACUGGGACUGAGACACGGCCCAGACUCCUACGGGAGGCAGCAGUGGGGAAUUUUGGACAAUGGGCGAAAGCCUGAUCCAGCCAUGCCGCGUGAGUGAAGAAGGCC
rnacentral:rRNA from 1 species